rnacentral:rRNA from 1 species
AUGCAAGUCGAGCGAGAAAGCCUUCGGGCGAGUAAAGCGGCGAACGGGUGAGUAACACGUAACCAACCUAUCCUCGAGAUCGGAAUAACCACCGGAAACGGUGGGUAAUGCCGAAUGGACCGAAUAGAGGGCAUCCUCAUUUCGGUAAACGGUGGCUUGCCACUGCUCGGGGAGGGGGUUGCGGCCUAUCAGCUUGUUGGUGGGGUAACGGCCUACCAAGGCUACGACGGGUAGCGGGUCUGAGAGGAUGAUCCGUCACACUGGGACUGAGACACUGCCCAGACUCCUACGGGAGGCUGCAGUCGAGAAUCUUCCGCAAUGGGCGAAAGCCUGACGGAGCGACACCGCGUGCAGGAUGAAGGCCUUAGGGUUGUAAACUGCUGUCACGCUAUAGGAACGCCUUCGGGUUGACCAAAGCGAAAGGAAGCACCGGCUAACUCCGUGCCAGCAGCCGCGGUAAGACGGAGGGUGCUAACGUUGUUCGGAAUCACUGGGCAUAAAGAGCACGUAGGCGGCCAAUUAAGUCGGGUGUGAAAGCCCUCGGCUCAACCGAGGAGCUGCACCCGAUACUGAUUGGCUCGAGGACGGCAGGGGUGAGUGGAACUCCAGGUGGAGCGGUGAAAUGCGUAGAUAUCUGGAGGAACACCGGUGGCGAAAGCGGCUCACUGGGCCGUCUCUGACGCUGAGGUGCGAAAGCCAGGGGAGCAAACGGGAUUAGAUACCCCGGUAGUCCUGGCCGUAAACGAUGGGCACUAGGUAGGGGACCCUCCUAUGGGGUUCUUUGCCGUAGCUAAUGUGUUAAGUGCCCCGCCUGGGGAGUACGCUCGCAAGGGUAAAACUCAAAGGAACUGACGGGGGGAUCACACAAGCGGUGG